CGAGAUUGGAUCACUGCAGUCUACUUAGCGCUAGCAGAUCUGCUUCUACCGUGACCAGCACAGCUCUCCAGGUUUCAAGGUUCUCUUUGCUCUGAGAUCUGGAAUUGAGUGAACAACAGUGUGCUGAGACCUCCAGAGCGUCUUUAUGAUUCUAUGUACAGGAGAUGAGUCAUUGAAAAUGGAAAACAGUACCCGUGUCACCUGCAUGGUGCAUGGUGUUAACCUCCUCUGCCGCCGUGAGUUCAUACAGACAGCAUAAUGAGGUGGGAUACAGAAAAGCUUUAUCCAGAAUAAAACGUGACCCUCAGUGAUAGAAGAACAACCCAAGAACACAUUUCCACGGACACAUGAUUGCCUCUGCUCUCUACUUAAAGAUCAUGACACAGCAGAGCACAUCACAACGGAGCCAGGCUAAACCGAGGUACUGUUUUACUUAAGGACGAGUGACUCACCCUAACUUACUAGCCUAGCUCAUAAGCAUCACAUGAAGGUCACCCACUGAGCUGGCUGUUUGCUUCCUUCGUUCCUGACUGAUGGGCUACAGAAUGCUCCCUGGUUCUGUGACUUUAGCAAAGACUUCUCGGAACCCCUCAGGUGGGCUUCUAUAUGUCAUCGUUCACUAAAAUGCUACAUCAACGGUU
rnacentral:lncRNA from 1 species